GGACAUAGCUGUGUGUGAGUGUUUGGAAGCAGAGAAGUCAACAAACAUUCUUAUAAAGGACCUUGGGGUUUCUGUUCUUCCAGAGGCUUCUCCUAUGAAAGAGGAAUUGAUAAUACCAAGCGACACUAAAGACAUAAGUUGGGCAGAUGAUACAAUGAGUCCACAAUCUUCGCAGGAGAAAGUUGUUAAGAGAAGAAAACAUAGAUUUGUUAUCCAUGGACAUAAGCUGGGUAAUACUUCAUGUAAGAAGAGUUUGUUGAAAAGGUUCCCUUGUAAAACCCGCUUUGGCAUGUCUUGUGCAGUUGAU